rnacentral:rRNA from 1 species
GAUGAACGCUGGCGGCGUGCCUAAUACAUGCAAGUCGAGCGAACAGACGAGGAGCUUGCUCCUCUGACGUUAGCGGCGGACGGGUGGGUAACACGUGGAUAACCUACCUAUAAGACUGGGAUAACUUCGGGAAACCGGAGCUAAUACCGGAUAAUAUAUUGAACCGCAUGGUUCAAUAGUGAAAGACGGUUUUGCUGUCACUUAUAGAUGGAUCCGCGCCGCAUUCGCUAGUUGGUAAGGUAACGGCUUACCAAGGCAACGAUGCGUAGCCGACCUGUGAGGGUGAGCGGCCACACUGGAACUGAGACACGGUCCAGACUCCUACGGGAGGCAGCAGUAGGGAAUCUUCCGCAAUGGGCGAAAGCCUGACGGAGCAACGCCGCGUGAGUGAUGAAGGUCUUCGGAUCGUAAAACUCUGUUAUUAGGGAAGAACAAAUGUGUAAGUAACUAUGCACGUCUUGACGGUACCUAAUCAGAAAGCCACGGCUAACUACGUG